rnacentral:lncRNA from 1 species
GAGAAUGAAACAGAUCGAGUUCCUGGCAUUUGAAACGUCUUUUUAAAGAAGAAUAAAGACUUAUAGAUAGCGUCAACAGUCAGUUGAAUGUGGUUUCAAGUCAGCAUAAUACGCCGUUGUUUUUAGAUCCGGUGAGAGAGCAUCACCGAUAUCACAGAGGGUUGCAGUUAAGGUAACUUCCAAAUGUUUUCUCGUUCUCCGUGACGUAAUGAAUGUUUAGCUUUGGCAGCUCAAAGUGGUCCACAAGUAUGAUUAUGUGCUAGUGUCAUCAGAUCUAGCGUUUUGGAGGUUGUCAUUCCUUCGAUUCUGCCCUUGAAGGAACCCUUAAAUUGGACAGUUGGUCUGCACACGUGAGUUUGUUGCAACUGAUUGCAGCAGAGCUAUCGUUCUAUCCACCUGCACAAACAGUGUGUUCCAACUCAUUGUUGUCCUCAAUUUUCUGCUCUUCAUCAGUCUGAGGAUACAAAUGCCUCGGUUCAGGUAACGGAUGUGCUUUAAUGAAAGCUUGUUUAGCGUCGCAGGGCUUUGAUGGAUGUUGCAAAACUUCAAUUUGUUAAUAACGAGACUACUGGUAGAUUGCCAACCUAAUUUCGCGGCUGGCUAGAAGGAUAACUGCGGAUUGAUUCAGAUGUUCAAGUCGAAGCCUCUGAAGUGUUGAGCCAUGACUUUGUGAAGUCAAUCGAGAAAAUCUUACGAUGCGUGACCCCUGUCGCUUUCCACCAAACAGCCCAUCCAGUUGGAUAUCAUUCUGAAGUUUUCACUGCUUCAAGAAUGUAUGUUCCAAGCACAUGUUUUAUUUACGCAAUUGUCACAGGUUGACAUAUUCGCCUCUUCACCUCUUUCAUGUGGGUAGACCCGAAGUACCACCAUUUAUACCUCUGUCACCGACUAUGUAGAGCAGAUCAGCAUAUUUCGAUUGCUCCAACUAAGUGGACCUUGGAAUGAUCCACGAAACUUAAUCAAUCGUUAUUUUGUAGUUAGACUUUCCAGAACACCGGCGUACUGUUGUUUGUAGAGUGUAACGCCAGAUGUACUUGGCUGAGCUGGGCAUAUCCACAGCAGAUAGGUACCACAGAGAUUGUUACUAUAUGGUGCCGCUGUGAGUUUUUCAGAAGUGGUUAUUGCACCCAACUUAUCCUUUGUUACUUCUUGGAGCAAUUUCUGAAUCAGAGAGUCUUGAUCUCCGGGACGUGUUUCCUGCUCAUGCGGACACCAACUUGCAAGUCUGUUCUUUUUCCAGCAACUCAAGAGUUAAUAUAAGGCACCCUAAUACUUAAGUUCCGAAGCGAAAAUCAUGUCAUUAAUACUGAGGUGUAAUGCACA